AUUCAAUUUCUCAUUUUAUUUGUUAUGUCAUUAGAAUUUUCUUUUAAACAUUUAAUCAAUUAACCAUUUAAACAUUUAAAAAUUUUCAGUUCAAACCUUUUUUUAAAUAUUUCAUGAACACACAAGGGUUAAUGUCGUUGACAGCUGAGGGUUAAGAAUUUGCCUAAGAACCGAACUGUCAAAUGUUUUCCAUCUCGUGGAAAUUGUUCGAUUCGUUGUGUGUAUAAGCAACGAAACGAAUAGCUGAUUUCAAAAUGAAUUUGCGCUUUUUACCCGAACCUGAACCCACAAAAGGUAUUCAGUUACGACGGGGCUGCUUGCCAACGAUGCCAACGAUAAUAUUUUCGCACAUCAGGAGCUGCGAGACGGUUCUCAGGUUGACACCGAUGUCAUGCUGAUGACCGCUUCCAACCGAUGAAGGAUCUAAUCAUUCCGGCAGCUAGUUAAGUUCCAGAAUCAUUUCCAAGCCGGAACGGAACCGGUCUCAUAAAACAUGGCAAAUCUUGCCAAAGACACCAUCCGACGGAACCUGCCGGAGUCGCUGCAUGCCAGCCGCAUGGUUAAAAAAUGUUGUAGUUUUCCACAUCAUUAAUGAAAUAAACUUUUUCCUUGCUUUUUAUUUGAAAAAAGUGUGUGUGUGCAUUCAGUAAAUAGAGUUAUCUAAGCCCGAGCUCACGCACACCAGCACCCCAUUUGUUUUGCUGGCGGGUACAAAAUUUAACCUCAAUCUUUUUCGUGUACGUACACGCAAUACAUGCGCACGUAGAUAACUCUAUUGCCUUCCGAGAUGACAGUUAUUUACAGGCUGGAGUCACGCGCGACGAAAGCGCUGCCCAAGCGGUGAGAUUUGGAACUAAAAUUCAUUUUUGCAUGUACACCAAUACUAUCAAAAAAUAUGGUGAAUGUGAGUGCACAAUACAUAGAGAGAAACGUCAAAACCGAGGCGAAUGAAUUUGACCGAUUUUGACAGAGAUCUCUGAUAAAGAUUUGACGGAGAAUUCUCUGAUAGAGACGCUCUAUCAGAGAAUUUCUGAUAAAUUUACCGAGAAUUUCGGCGAAUUUGACCGAAGUCUAGGUUGCGUGUAGAACAAAUCCUGUUAUUUUGACAGCUGUCUAAAAUUGAGGUACGUUUUUGGCCAAAAAUGACCUCUUGAAAAAUCAUUUUUCUAAAUUUUUUGUUGGAAUUGAUCAAAAAGUACCCAAAUGUUUGAAAAUCUCUACUUCAAAUAUUUUAGCAUGUCAAUACGAUUCCCUUGAACAAGAAACACUGUUGGAUGACUUGUUUUUAUCAUAUCUUUGUAUUUGAGCAUCAUUUUAGUUUCAUUUGACCCAAUGUCACCCCCUCUAAGGGGUGAGAUUGGGCCAAUUUUCAAACUAUUGGCAUUUAAGGUAGUGUUCAUCAAAAUCCACCAUAUUUUGGGAAAAUGUUAGUAAACUAUCUAAGAACAAAUCUACGUUGGAAGAUUUUCGAUGUUAUUUGAAUUGUUUUUGUUAUUAAGUAAUUACGAGAGGUGUAUCGUUUUUUGACCCAUAGUCACCCCCACUGACGGUACGUGUUAAGUUUUCGUGAAAAAACUGGAUUUCCUCCUGAUUUCUAGAACAAAGUACUGGAUGUUAUAGGAUUUUCUGAAAGAGCUUAACUCAACUCAAAAACUAUUAAAAUUCAUUUGGGACAUUUAUGCGAUCAUGGGCAGUAUAGGUCCUUUAAAAAAACUCUAGAUGUUUCCUAUUUCUUUGUCUUUAUGAUGCUGUAUCUCAGGAACCAGAGGUCGAAUUUUACACGCCUUUUAGACAAUUUUAUAGCAUAUUUUCUGAAAAAUGUCAGAACUGGGCUCUCAUGGUCACUAUUUUUAAAAAUCGAAAAACUACAAAUAUUUGAUUGAAAUCAAACGUUCAGAGGCUAUAUCUUGAAAACGAGGAACUUUUUAAAAAAUCUAAAGGAACUAUAGUACUAAAUUCGCAAUUCGCAAUUUUCAGUGUAAGAACGGGCCUUGACCGAUCUUAUGCACCAGGUUCCCGACGAACACGCACUGCCCUUACACCUACAUCUCACCCUUGCUCUGAGUCAGUACGAGCAGCACGCUAGAACACGCUUUGAGUGUUCGUGCCAGGCAUGCACACCUUCUUUUCCGGUUACGCAUUUUAACUCGGCCGGGGGUGGUACAUUACGUAGGGUUUGAUGUAAGUAUAAGCGCCUAACCAUUUAAAGUGUGCCUAUCAACUUUCUUUAAAGCAAAAACUGUUUUAUUUUUAGUUUGAAUUCAAAAAUUAGUUGUUGAGUCGUGUUUAUCUGUUGCUAUUUCUUUUGUCGCGGUGUUUUGUUACAAUGUUUUGGUCCUAAGCAUCUUAGAAAAGUUUUUCAAAAGUACAAUAGUAAUAUUUGUGUUAAUCCUUUAAUCAUUCCAUAAAUUGAGCAAGGGCUCGAACCUCACUUGCUUAAGAAAAAGGUGAAGUUUCAAAACAAUGGACAGUGAAGGAAACAUACUUUGUAAAGUAUCAAUAGUAAAAGGAAGAUAGUAAUUUAUGAAGUAGAUAUAGAAAUUAACAAUAGUUAAUAAAAAGAGGUAACAAACAAGCUUAGAUUAUUGUUAUGAUGGGCAAUUUACAGGGAAGAUGAAAAAUUAUUCAAAUAGAUACAUAAAGAAAAGGCACAUGAUAAACAAAAUUGACAUCGCUGCCAAAUUAAGGGAAAGCAGAUAGUUUGUUACAGCAGCAUCAAUUGGUAAAAUAGAGUGGAAAAGCGUUGAGAAAUAAGAGAAUCAAAUACGUAAAAUCGAAAUCAAAUGGAGGAUAGUAAACAGAAGCCGUUUUAGAAAAACAGUGAAACAAAAUAAACAGAAGAUAGCUGUUAGCUGAAAUGGAAAAAAGAGAAACCCCGUUCUGCGAUGCUCAGGUACAUCCACAGCAGUUGACUCAACAUACUGCGAAUCAAAACAAUACCGUCUACAAUCACAAAUUACUUCCCUUUCCCACAUUGACGCGCCCCUUUCUUCUAGCCGUCUCUACUCUGACCCUCGCUGGUCAAAGGUUUACGAGUCGUUUCCACAGGCCACCAGCUAGGUUACACCUUGUCAUCAUGAUGACUAAACCAAGCCAACGUGGAGGUAAGAAAAUAGGACACUUGCAAGGAACCAGAGCCAUGCUGUUUUGUCCAAACAGCACUACGGAUGUAGUUGGGCUCUUUCCGGGAUGUUCCUCGCCUAGGUGUGUCAACCGACGAGUAUCAUCAGUAUCAUGUGCACCCUUGGCCUGCAGGAACUAUAGUACUAAAUG